UGGGGAAUAUUGGACAAUGGGGGGAACCCUGAUCCAGCCAUGCCGCGUGUGUGAAGAAGGCCUUAUGGUUGUAAAGCACUUUAAGCGAGGAGGAGGGUACUGGUAUUAAUACUACCAGGUACUGGACGUUACUCGCAGAAUAAGCACCGGCUAACUCUGUGCCAGCAGCCGCGGUAAUACAGAGGGUGCGAGCGUUAAUCGGAUUUACUGGGCGUAACGCGUGCGUAGGCGGCUAAUUGAGUCGGAUGUGAAAUCCCCGAGCUUAACUUGGGAAGUGCAUUCGAUACUGGUUAGCUAGAGUGUGGGAGAGGAUGGUAGAAUUCCAGGUGUAGCGGUGAAAUGCGUAGAGAUCUGGAGGAAUACCGAUGGCGAAGGCAGCCAUCUGGCCUAACACUGACGCUGAGGUACGAAAGCAUGGGGAGCAAACAGG
rnacentral:rRNA from 1 species